rnacentral:ncRNA from 1 species
CCAAAACCGAUGAACAAGAGUAGUAAAUAAGAUUCGUUAUUCCCAGAGAGCUGCCGGUGGUGUGAAGGCGGUAAUAAAGAUUUUAUUGAAUGGACUUGCGAGGGCAGCUCAAAAUCACAGCAGUUAACGGAAACCCUGUAAAUAAUGCAGAGUGGAAGAGGUGAGAGUAGACGCUGACGGGAGCCUUAUCCGUUAUCAACGAGGUAUGUAUGAUCGUACAUAAAAAGAGUGGCUGAGUGAUCAGCAACUUGGGUGGUACCGCAGAAGCUACAGGCUUUUGUCCCUUGG